UGGGGAAUUUUGGACAAUGGGCGAAAGCCUGAUCCAGCAAUGCCGCGUGUGUGAAGAAGGCCUUCGGGUUGUAAAGCACUUUUGUCCGGAAAGAAAUGGCUCUGGUUAAUACCUGGGGUCGAUGACGAUACCGGAAGAAUAAGGACCGGCUAACUACGUGCCAGCAGCCGCGGUAAUACGUAGGGUCCAAGCGUUAAUCGGAAUUACUGGGCGUAAAGCGUGCGCAGGCGGUUGUGCAAGACCGAUGUGAAAUCCCCGAGCUUAACUUGGGAAUUGCAUUGGUGACUGCACGGCUAGAGUGUGUCAGAGGGGGGUAGAAUUCCACGUGUAGCAGUGAAAUGCGUAGAGAUGUGGAGGAAUACCGAUGGCGAAGGCAGCCCCCUGGGAUAACACUGACGCUCAUGCACGAAAGCGUGGGGAGCAAACAGG
rnacentral:rRNA from 1 species